rnacentral:rRNA from 1 species
CAGUCGCCGCGGUAAUACAGAGGGUGCGAGCGUUAAUCGGAUUUACUGGGCGUAAAGCGUGCGUAGGCGGCUUCUUAAGUCGGAUGUGAAAUCCCUGAGCUUAACUUAGGAAUUGCAUUCGAUACUGGGAAGCUAGAGUAUGGGAGAGGAUGGUAGAAUUCCAGGUGUAGCGGUGAAAUGCGUAGAGAUCUGGAGGAAUACCGAUGGCGAAGGCAGCCAUCUGGACUAAUACUGACGCUGAGGUACGAAAGCAUGGGGAGCAAACAGGAUUAGAUACCCGCGUAGUCCCUGUCUCUUAUAC